rnacentral:rRNA from 1 species
UGCAGUCGACGGCAGCACAGUAAGAGCUUGCUCUUAUGGGUGGCGAGUGGCGGACGGGUGAGGAAUACAUCGGAAUCUACCUUUUCGUGGGGGAUAACGUAGGGAAACUUACGCUAAUACCGCAUACGACCUUCGGGUGAAAGCAGGGGACCUUCGGGCCUUGCGCGGAUAGAUGAGCCGAUGUCGGAUUAGCUAGUUGGCGGGGUAAAGGCCCACCAAGGCGACGAUCCGUAGCUGGUCUGAGAGGAUGAUCAGCCACACUGGAACUGAGACACGGUCCAGACUCCUACGGGAGGCAGCAGUGGGGAAUAUUGGACAAUGGGCGCAAGCCUGAUCCAGCCAUACCGCGUGGGUGAAGAAGGCCUUCGGGUUGUAAAGCCCUUUUGUUGGGAAAGAAAAGCAGUCGGCUAAUACCCGGUUGUUCUGACGGUACCCAAAGAAUAAGCACCGGCUAACUUCGUGCCAGCAGCCGCGGUAAUACGAAGGGUGCAAGCGUUACUCGGAAUUACUGGGCGUAAAGCGUGCGUAGGUGGUUGUUUAAGUCUGUUGUGAAAGCCCUGGGCUCAACCUGGGAAUUGCAGUGGAUACUGGGCGACUAGAGUGUGGUAGAGGGUAGUGGAAUUCCCGGUGUAGCAGUGAAAUGCGUAGAGAUCGGGAGGAACAUCCAUGGCGAAGGCAGCUACUUGGACCAACACUGACACUGA